rnacentral:rRNA from 1 species
UACAGAGGAGCCAAGCGUUGUCCGGAUUGACUGGGCGUAAAGCGCACGCAGGCGGUGGUGCGCGUGGGGUGUGAAAUCUGGCCGCUUAACGGCCAGGCGCCAUCCCAUACGGCACGACUGGAGGGCUGCAGAGGUCGAUGGAAUUGCCGGUGUAGUGGUGAAAUGCGUAGAGAUCGGCAGGAACACCCAGGGGGAAACCAGUCGACUGGGCAGCACCUGACGCUGAGGUGCGAGAGCGUGGGGAGCGAACCGG